CUUUUAGUUAAAUGAAUAGUUGGCUCAAAUACUACUUGAAAUAUAGACUCAUUAGUCUCAACAAGAGAAAUCUUGAAUUUAAAUUCCAUUAUCUUGGCUAAAAUUUCUUUUAAUUAAAUCUUGGAGAAACACACAUUUCACAAAUAUGAUUUAUAAUUUUUUUCCUUCAACUUUUGUAUUUUCAGGAGUUCUCAAAUUUUGCUAACAAUUUUUUUUAAAAAGUCUUUCAUGAACUAAUGAUUAUAAUUUGUUAAUUACCUGGAGUAGCAUUUUACAUGUCAUAGAUAUGAUUUGGCUAGCUUAACCAGCAUUCUAGAAAAUAGACUAGAGGCAUAUAGAGAAUGGAAAUGUUCUUGUCUUCACGUUCAUACUUUUUCUUUGCACCUCUGAGAUAUACGGCUUCUGUUAUUCAGCCACAAUCUGCUAUUUCCAAUUCAUCCCUAAUGAUAAAACGGUGGUAGCUUUUGGUGAGAUCUUCUCAAGAUCUCAUGUUGUUCAGUCAUUAGCAAAAAAGAAAGCAAGAAAAUGUGAAAGGUACUGAGAUAAGUCCAGUGUCUACAGCUGGUUUCAGCAAUUUCAACUUGUGCAAGACCCCGAGCUUGUGAAAGAAACCCAAGAAUCUCUGAACAGGAUGUAAUCAAACUCCAAAUCUGCUGAGAAACACUGCAAAAAUGACUUCAGCUGCCAAAAAUAAUAAUGUCGUUUACAAGCAGCUCUUCCUAUGUCUAAGGAAGGACUAGCCGCACAGGAGUUUACGCUGGCUUUGGAGGAACAAACUAAGGAAAGGGCAAGUCCUGCCUCCCCCACCCUAACACACACAGUAUCAGAAUCCACUGGAAGCUGUGGCCCACUCCCAAGGUGCUGGCAAUACCGAGGGAGAGUCAUAUCCACAACAAUCUGAACGGGAACAUUUGGGACUGAGGAUUUUUAAAUGCCCCCGAUAAAUGAGGAGGCAACCUGUCAAGCUAGUUGGAAGCAGACUGAGUAAGGGACCUAGAGAGACAAAUCUGAAAGCAGUAUGUUUUGAUCCAGAAGCAGCUGGAAAUGGCAGCAACCUGAUAUGGAGCAAUCGAGAACUGAAGGUUUAUUUUGAAGGAGAGGCUAUGACCAACUGUGAGACUGAGUGAUGGCAGCUGAGAAUAAGUGCAAAUACAAUCAGUAGUGACCUCUGGUAGGAAGUUACUGAGGACCUGAGGACCUUUCUUCUUUCAUGUCUCUUUCUGUCACCACAUUUGUACCGCAUCCAUAAGUUGCAAUACUAUCUAUGGAGGAGGGAAACAAGCUCUUCAAUUUAUUUUUAUUCUUAAUAAUAGCUUCUGAGCUUCCAUGAUUUGAAAAUACAAUGAUAAAAUGGCUCUUUCAGCAAACAAUAUAUUUCAAAGCCCAGUUGUAUUUUGGACAGGCAAGAAUGCCUCAUCAUUAAAUGGCCUUUAAUAUGCAUCACCUCUCCAGUCUGCCAUCUCUUUUUACUAGUUGUUCUCUCUUUUCUAUAGUUGUAUAGCUAUGAGCAAAGCAAUUUCAUUGUCCCUUGUUCCUAGUUCCUACCAAUGUUAUCAUUUCACUAAUAUACAAGGGUAGACCAUAGAUGCUGCUCAUUAAAUAUUGUUGAACAAUCUAUAAUUAUACUAUUUUAUAUUUGAAUAUCACCCUUUACAAGUUUGUAAAGCACUUUAACAUAACUUAUUUAAUUAAACUUCACUG